CAUAGACACUGGGAGUGGCCUUCAGCUGACAGCCAUCAAGAAAACAAGGAUUUCAGCCCUAUGGUUGCAAGGAGCUGAAUUCUGCCAACAACAAGAAUGAGUUUGAAAGCAGAUUUUCUCUUUGUUGUCUCCAGCUGAGCACUUAGCCUGGUCAACACCUUAAUUUCAGCUUUGUGGUACCUUGCACAGAGAACACAUCAAGACGUGAAAGACUUCUGUUCUACAAAAUUGCCCUCUGUCAGAGGAAGACUCAGUGAAUUUAUUUUCCACCUGGUCACAUUUCAUAGACUGUGACAGCCAGUGGCUGCUAUGACCACAGCCCACAAAUCCAUUCUGAAAAUAUGUGGUGGACACUUUUCAAGUAAUAGGUGCCUGGAAUGUAUGCAGAUAUGUUUCACAGAAAUGCUAAGUCCUUAAUCAAUACAACAAAAUAUUUCCAGCUUCCCCAGCGUGAUAAAUCUAGCAAUCAAUUACUCUGCCAUAGUAUACGCCUGGUACAAGCAGGAUGAAAAAUAUUAUUGAAAAAUUCUACCUCUUGAUUAACUACUGAUGAAAGUUCUCAGAAUUAAAAUGAUAUUUCUUAAUUUACUCUUUUUCAAAAUUGGAAACCAAAUACACCAAACUAUUAUAUUCUAUAGAUCAUAUUCCACAAGGUCAUGAAACCUUCCAAGCAUAAAAAGGAAAAUCAUCAGCCACCAGAAACAAAACAAAAAAAAUAGCUUCUAGAUCUUCAUGGAGAUAAAAAGUUUUGUCAAGAUCUGAUUUUUAAGUCCUCAUAUACUGGACUCUGACAGCUGAGCCAUGGGUGGCAACUACUUAAACUAAGUCACUUUAAGCAACCAUUCAAAGUACUUAUGCAAUCAGGUUGAAACUAUUUUUAAUGAGGAGAAGAAAGCUCCUGGGAGGCACUGACAGCUCUUGAACCCUGAUAGCACACUUUGCACAGAGAUUCCCCAGAAGGUGGCUCUGAGCAAGUCUUCACAUUUGCCAUUUGAUUAAUUAAAGAUAAAUGGCGGAGACUUUUCCCUAAAUGGGUUACUUGAUUUAAGAGCUGCUGGCUAAUUUUGGUCGGAUAAUUUAAUAGAAGAGGGAAGAGGAAAGGAAAGAAAGGGGCUUGAAGAAAGAGGAAGAGAAAAGAAACACAAGGAUGGAGAACAAGGAGAGACCAUUUGAAUAGAAUGCAACUGAAGAAAUGGCUGGUGCAAUUCAGCAAGGUAAAAGAUUAUCUUACCCCCAGCUGGUUAAAGGCAGAAGCUAUGAAUUUGUGCUAUUGUCUGUGGGCUCCUUUCAGUUCUCAAACAGUAGCUGCCACUUCUAGCUGGGAGAGAAAUGAGAGCUCUGCUCAUGGUGAUCCAGUAUCUCCAGAAUCCAUCACCACUGCUGACCUCCCACUCCAUGUCUCCAAGUGCUCUGCUAUACCUGCCACCAGCAGCUGCCACCUCCAGACUUUGGAAGGUUAUAAUAAAACCUCUGUUCUACGAUCUGCCUUCUGCUUCAACAUCCUCACUCCCCACAAACAAUUCUAAUAAACAGCAAUUAAUCUGAAAGUGUUUUUGCAAUUUUAAUGUAUGAGAUAUGGUUUCUCUCAAAAGCUACACUGCUCUUGUGUCCUUACAAGGUAUUUUCUUAGCAAGAAUAAUCUGUUUGCAUGGGUGUUAAUGACUAAAUCCCUUUCUUGUAAAGUUAUGCCCAUCUGUCACACAAGAAGAAUAGUACCCUUUAGAGAGCGCUGAAAUGUAGGGAAAUGUAGGGAAAAUGAG
rnacentral:lncRNA from 1 species